rnacentral:rRNA from 1 species
AUUGAACGCUGGCGGCAUGCCUUACACAUGCAAGUCGAACGGCAGCACGGGAGCAAUCCUGGUGGCGAGUGGCGAACGGGUGAGUAAUAUAUCGGAACGUGCCCAGUCGUGGGGGAUAACGCAGCGAAAGCUGUGCUAAUACCGCAUACGAUCUCUGGAUGAAAGCGGGGGACCGUAAGGCCUCGCGCGAUUGGAGCGGCCGAGAUCAGAUUAGCUAGUUGGUGGGGUAAAGGCCCACCAAGGCGACGAUCUGUAGCUGGUCUGAGAGGACGACCAGCCACACUGGAACUGAGACACGGUCCAGACUCCUACGGGAGGCAGCAGUGGGGAAUUUUGGACAAUGGGCGCAAGCCUGAUCCAGCAAUGCCGCGUGCAGGAUGAAGGCCUUCGGGUUGUAAACUGCCUUUGUACGGAACGAAACGGCGAGCUCUAAUAAAGUUUGCUAAUGACGGUACCGUAAGAAUAAGCACCGGCUAACUACGUGCCAGCCGCCGCAGUAA